rnacentral:lncRNA from 1 species
CCAGCUCCCUCCCCGUCCACUCGCUCGAGCUCCAGGAGCUCUUUGUGCCCCCCAUCGCCACCAUGGCCGCCAUCUCUGUCAAGCUCGAUUCCGGCAAGCUGAGCUCCCUCCCUCCUCCAUUCCACCCCAGAGGCCUCCCCUCUACCCACCAAGCCUCCCCUCCCCUCAACUAGUCGCCGGAGUAGCCGGGGCCGCCGUCCCCAAGAUCGACCGAGCCGCCGUCCGCCAUGGUCCAUGGUGCUCUCGCCCCCGCCCUCUUCGAGGCCCGUUUAGUGCGGGGAUGGGCGCACCUCCGUCUCCUGAUCGUUUCGGUGGGUUGGGCGCUGCCAGAGGUGGCCGGAGUCGGCCGGACUCGUCGCCGGAGCGCUCGGCCCUGCCUCUACCGCAGCUCGCCGUCGGGAGAAGGAGAGAGGAAGAAGAGAAGAGAGGAGAGAGAUAAGUGGAUAAGGUGGGACCCGCGCGUCAGCCACCCAGCCGCCGGCCCCGCGUUGACCCUGUUACGCUGACGUGGAUAAGGGGAGGCGUAAUCCAAUGAUUACGCCUUUGCUUUCCGAAAGCGUAUUUCUCUAUUACGCGUUCUGUUUUUCUGUUCAGGCCCUGUUUGAAAAUAUUUUCAUUACAGAUGGGUCCCUGGCAGAAAACACUCCAUAACUUUUUAUCCGUAAGUCCAAAUGAGGUGAUUCCAAAGCCUACUUCUUUGUUUCGUCGAGCCUGUUCUGUUGGUUUCAUUUUCACUAUGGUUUGACACUGUGAAAAUGACCAUUAUGCCCUUGCCCUUAUUUUGCCCUCUUCGAGAGAGAACGUUUUCCGGCGAUUCGUUCCGUGAGUUUCUCGCACUUUCUCCCGGUGAUUUCUUCCACCCCAGGCAAGCCACAAUACCCACUUGCAUGAUAGUCAUGCAGUAGCCAUGGUUUUCAACUUGAAUCUUUAUUAAAUGUUUGCUUGUUGAAAAGAUGGUUAUCGUUGUUCCGAUGAUGUUUAGAUUUGCAUGUUCACUUUUGUGCUAGGUUGUCUUGUACUCUGUUAUCAUGUUCUACCUGCUAGUAUUUCCUUUCAUAUGUUUAUACUUGCCAGUAGUACAUGUUGAUGUUGGUGAUGGUCAUGCUAGUCAGUAUGCCAUGCUCAGUGGAUAUGAUUUAUUAUUGAUAUGGUGGAUAGUUAUGUGAUACCCUCAUGAUUAUGUUGAUAUCGUGUUCAUGCAUUUUUAUCAUGACUCAGCAUAUUUGCAUUCGAGUUAACCGGAUUAAUUGAACUUGAACAACUGUUGGCUGAGUCAUGGUGCCGCUGAAUCGAUGCUGACCAGUGCAACCACGCUUACCGGUAUGGGACGGUCCUAACUAUGUCUAUUGUUGUGCCUCUUGCCGGUGCCUCCAACGAGGGAAGGUUAUGGGCGCGCGCUACCCUGAUCAGGUAGGCGGAAAUAAGCCUUGUGUGCCCGUUGUUGUUGUUAUGUGCACAUGUCCCCGUUUGGGACGGUUUAUUGUUUUGGGCCACGAGGGUGGUCGUUGUGUCUUGAGGUAGACACGGGGCCACCCAUGACUUAGCCCAGAGGGGAGUGAGUCGGAGUGGCCGGGAGAGUGUCAUGGCAGUAGAUCGGUUUUGUCGGAACGCCGUUGGUCCACCUGAAUGGGAGUGCGAGGCCAUGGGUUCCGUAGUGUGGGUACAAUGUACUAACCUCUACAGAGUGUAUAUUAAAUCUAUCGAUAGCCGCGCCCGCGGAUAAGGGCCCAGUUCGAAAGUAGGUCACACCGUGAGUCAACAGUAAUAAGAAUAACUUGAUUAAUGACAACCCGCGGUUGUGAUCGCCGUAAGGAUCAUGGGCUUUUUACUGGUCGGGUUGGGAUCGCCGUAAGGAUCACGGGCCAUUUAUUGGUCGGGUUGUGAUCGCCGUAAGGAUCACGGUUUGGGACCAAGUGUUGGUCGUGGUUGUGAUCGCCGUAAGGAUCACCGUGGUAUCGAGGAUACCGAGUUGUUGUAUAUUCGUGACCUUGUGCGAGAAUCGUGGCUAAAGAUCAAGCUCCUUGUGGUCAUUUACUGAUCGCUACGGUAUUGUUUAUACCAAGCUUGAUUUGAUCCUGAGAUGAUCGUGUGAUGUCCGAGGUUGGUAAGUGAUGCAUGUGACGGUUACCAAGUAACCCGAGGGGAAUAAGUGGUGCAUAUAGUGUCAUCAUGUUGCAUGCUAGUAUUGUUAGAUUAAUAUGUUCAUGUUGUGUUAGCUGUAUCAUGGUCAUGUUAUAUUGUUCUGAUGAUAUCAUGAUAAUCCCUGCUUAACCUGUAAUUGCCAUGCUGUUGUUUGUCUUGAAUGCUUCUGGUUAUUGUGAGCUUGCAAGUACAUUCAAUGUACUGACCUGGCGUGUCAUGCCAGUUUGCAGGUCAUUUCGGAUUUGAUUGCUUGUUUGCCGUGGAGUCCUUGUUUGCGAGCUAGGAUAAGCAUUCCAGCCAGAGUCCCUGCGGAGUGGAGUUCACCACCGUCAUCGUUGUUCCGCUGCUAGAGUUCUUCCGCUGCAUCGUGUUGUUCUGCUGCUUGCAUUGAGCAACAGUGGCAGGCGUAGUGUAGCCGUGCGAUGUAACCCUUGUACUCAAAUAGAUUGUAAUAAAGAGCUGGUUUGUUCUAUGCUAAGCCGUGCCGUAUUCCAGAAGACUUCAUCUCGAUCUCUAGGCUGGAAUACGGGGCGUUCCGGUUUUCUCUGAGCCGGGGUGCCACAAGCUGCCUGUUUCUUUUGUUCCUCCUCAUCGCAAACAGUUAAUUGAACUGAACCGUAUGCCCUGCAUCGCACACGCAACUAAAAUCUGAACCGUGUUUGAUGCAUCCUCCAUCGCAAACGUAGUGCACCUUUUUUGAUGGUUUUUUUACACCACCGUUUGCGAUUAUUGCAUCGCACACAGUUUCGUCGAAGGGUCUCUGAUCGUAGUGCCGCGUUAGCAGCAUCCUGCAGUAGUGUCUAGUCACUUUCACCAUGUUGGUUCGAUUCAUGUUCGCUACUUUCACCAUGAAAUUCCCGUGUACCCUCAAGAAUGCUUUGCCUAUUGUACGGUCUGAUGACCCACAAGUAUAGGGGAUCUAUC